rnacentral:rRNA from 1 species
AUUGAACGCUGGCGGCAGGCCUAACACAUGCAAGUCGAGCGAGCGGCGGACGGGUGAGUAAUGUAUGGGGAUCUGCCCGAUAGAGGGGGAUAACUACUGGAAACGGUGGCUAAUACCGCAUACCAUCGGAUGUGCCCAGAUGGGAUUAGCUAGUAGGGGGGGUAACGGCUCACCGAGGCGACGAUCCCUAGCUGGUCUGAGAGGAUGACCAGCCACACUGGACCUGGGACACGGUCCAGACUCCUACGGGAGGCAGCAGUGGGGAAUAGUGCACAAUGGGCGAAGGCCUGAUGCAGCCAUGCCGCGUGUAUGAAGAAGGCCUUCGGGUUGUAAAGUACUUUCAGCGAGGAGGCGUUACUCGCAGAAGAAGCACCGGCGAACUCCGUGCCAGCAGCCGCGGUAAUAC